rnacentral:rRNA from 1 species
GCCUACGGGACGCAGCAGUGGGGAAUCUUGCGCAAUGGGCGAAAGCCUGACGCAGCGACGCCGCGUGGGUGAUGAAGGCCUUCGGGUUGUAAAGCUCUGUGGGGAGAGACGAGUAAGACGUGGCUAACAUCCACGGCGAUGACGGUAUCUCCUUAGCAAGCACCGGCUAACUCUGUGCCAGCAGCCGCGGUAAGACAGAGGGUGCAAACGUUGUUCGGAAUUACUGGGCGUAAAGCGUGUGUAGGCGGCCACGUAAGUUGGAUGUGAAAGCCCGGGGCUCAACCCCGGAAGGGCAUUCAAUACUGCGUGGCUUGAGUAUCGGAGAGGUUGGUGGAAUUCUCGGUGUAGAGGUGAAAUUCGUAGAUAUCGAGAGGAACACCGGUGGCGAAGGCGGCCAACUGGACGAAUACUGACGCUGAGACACGAAAGCGUGGGGAGCAAACAGGAUUAGAUACCCCUGUAU